rnacentral:tRNA from 1 species
GGGCUGGGGCUCAGUGGUAGAGCGCUCGCCUAGCACAUGUGAACCCCUGGGUUCAAUCCUCAGCACCACA